GGCGCCGAAUGAGUCAUUAAAAAAUUAACAUCAUCCGAUCCCUAGUCGGCAUAGUUUAUGGUUAAGACUACGACGGUAUCUGAUCGUCUUCGAUCCCCUAACUUUCGUUCUUGAUUAAUGAAAACAUCCUUGGCAAAUGCUUUCGCAGUAGUUAGUCUUCAAUAAAUCCAAGAAUUUCACCUCUGACAAUUGAAUACUAAUGCCCCCAACUAUCCCUAUUAAUCAUUACGUCRAUCCUAGAAACCAACAAAAUAGRAUCAAACGUCCUAUUUCAUUAUUCCAUGCUAAUGUAUUCAAGCGYKAGCCUGCUUUAAACACUCUAAUUUUUUCAAAGUAACAGUCCUGAUUCCCCGCAACACCAAAUUAAUGACAUYACGGYUCRUCARAAGGGAGGAAYCAGYAAGGCCAGUGCAUACCAUUGGCACGACCAACSUGCUGAYCCCGAAAUUCAACUACGAGCUUUUUAACUGCAACAACUUUAAUAUACGCUAUUGGAGCUGGAAUUACCGCGGCUGCUGGCACCAGACUUGCCCUCCAAA
rnacentral:rRNA from 1 species